rnacentral:lncRNA from 1 species
UGCAGGUUUGAAAAAACACCAUUAACACCUCCAGCAACCACCCUCUCCCCCACUCCUGCACUUCAGAUCAGUGAAGAUGAUAUGUGUCAGGUCUUCAGAAAGAACAAGAGAAGAAAAGCACCAGGCCCAGACGGUGUCACACUAGCCUGUCUGAAAACCUGUGCUGACCUGUUGGCCCCCAUCUUCUCAACGAUCUUCAACAGAUCACUGGAGCUGUGCGAAGUCCCUUCCUGCUUCAAAUGCUCCACCAUCAUCCCCGUCCCUAAGAAACCCAAAAUUACAGGACUUAAUGACUACAGACCUGUGGCUCUAACGUCUGUGGCCAUGAAGGCAUUUGAAAAACUGGUGCUGGCCCACCUGAAGGACAUUACUGGACCCUUGCUGGAUCCUCUUCAGUUUGCCUACAGAGCAAACAGGUCUGUGGACGAUGCAGUCAACAUGGGACUGCAUUAUGUUCUGCAACAUCUAGACAUACCAGGGACUUAUGUGAGGAUCCUGUUUGUGGACUUCAGCUUGGCUUUUAACACUAUCAUCCCAAACCUCCUCCUGCCCAAACUAACUCAGCUCUCCGUGCCCACCUCCGUCUGUCAGUGGAUCACCAGCUUCCUGACAGACAGGCAGCAGCUAGUAAAACUGGGGAAAUUCUCAUCCAGCAGCUGUACGAUCAGCAUUGGCACCCCCCAGGGUUGUGUCCUCUCCCCAUUGCACUUCUCCCUGUACACCAAUGACUGCACCUCUAAAGACCCCUCUGUCAAGCGCCUGAUGUAUGCAGAUGACACCACAGUCAUCGGCCUCAUUCAGGACGGUGGCGAGUCUGCUUACAGACAGGAGGUUGAGCAGCUGGCUGUCUGGUGCAGUCACAACAACCUGGAGCUGAACACGCCCAAAACUGUGGAAAUGAUCGUGGACUUCAGGAGGAACCCCCCUGCACUCCCCUCACUCACCAUCAUGAACAGCAUGGCAAUAAAUCUCAUUCUGAUUCUGAUUCUUAUGUGUAAUUUCUGAUGUUCAUACUUUGAUUUCUUCCUCUGUCUCAGUGAAGCUGUACGGUGUCCUGGUGUCUAAAAGAUGAAGGUCUCUGACGCUCCUCUUCAG